UUUUAAAUAAGUGCGUUAAGGAUUGAAAUGGCAUCCUUUUUUUCUUUUUCAGAAAAAAAGAUACAAUGGAAAGCCUGUUAAAAC
rnacentral:sRNA from 1 species